UACGGGGGGAGCAAGCGUUGUUCGGAUUUACUGGGCGUAAAGGGCGGGUAGGCGGCCACCGCAAGUCAGUUGUGAAAUCUCCGGGCUUAACUCGGAAAGGUCAACUGAUACUGUGCGACUAGAGUGCGGAAGGGGCAACUGGAAUUCUUGGUGUAGCGGUGAAAUGCGUAGAUAUCAAGAGGAACACCUGCGGCGAAGGCGGGUUGCUGGGCUGACACUGACGCUGAAGCGCGAAAGCUAGGGGAGCGAACGGG
rnacentral:rRNA from 1 species